rnacentral:rRNA from 1 species
CCUACGUGCGGCAGCAGUGGGGAAUAUUGGGCAAUGGGCGCAAGCCUGACCCAGCAACGCCGCGUGAAGGAAGAAGGCUUUCGGGUUGUAAACUUCUUUUCUGAGGGACGAGCAGAGUGACGGUACCUUAGAAAUAGGCACCGGCUAACUACGUGCAAGCAGCCGCGGUAAUACGUAGGGGGCAGGCGUUAUCCGGAUUUAUUGGGUGUAAAGGGCGUGUAGGCGGGAGGGCAAGUCAGAUGUGAAACCUCCGGGCUCAACCCUGAGCCUGCAUUUGAAACUGUGUUUCUUGAGUGCUGGAGAGGCAAUCGGAAGUCCGUGUGUAGCGGUGAAAUGCGUAGAUAUACGGAGGAACACCAGUGGCGAAGGCGGAUUGCUGGACAGUAACUGACGCUGAGGCGCGAAAGCGUGGGGAGCAAACAGGAUUAGAUACCCGUGUAGUC